AUUGAACGCUGGCGGCAGGCUUAACACAUGCAAGUCGAGCGGGGUGAUGGUGCUUGCACUAUCACUUAGCGGCGGACGGGUGAGUAAUGCUUAGGAAUCUGCCUAUUAGUGGGGGACAACAUCUCGAAAGGGAUGCUAAUACCGCAUACGUCCUACGGGAGAAAGCAGGGGAUCACUUGUGACCUUGCGCUAAUAGAUGAGCCUAAGUCGGAUUAGCUAGUUGGUGGGGUAAAGGCCUACCAAGGCGACGAUCUGUAGCGGGUCUGAGAGGAUGAUCCGCCACACUGGGACUGGGACACGGCCCAGACUCCUACGGGAGGCAGCAGUGGGGAAUAUUGGAGAUGGGGGGAACCCUGAUCCAGCCAUGCCGCGUGUGUGAAGAAGGCCUUAUGGUUGUAAAGCACUUUAAGCCAGGAGGAGGCUCUUUUGGUUAAUACCCAAGAUGAGUGGACGUUACUCGCAGAAUAAGCACCGGCUAACUCUGUGCCAGCAGCCGCAGUAA
rnacentral:rRNA from 1 species